rnacentral:lncRNA from 1 species
AGACCUUACCCCUACCCUUGGGUAGAGAGGCUGUUUCCAAAUAGACCCCCGACAUCCUUCCCUCCAAGAACUUCCCACCUUGCUCUUGGGGAGACUCGAACUCACAACCUCUCGGUUGGAACUCACAACCUCUCGGUUGAACGGCUAUAAUAUCUUUCUAACUUUGAUAGACUUUUAUGCCCUUAAAUAUUGAGUUAAAGGUGAAUAUAAUUGUAAUAUUUAAAAUAAUACCUUAGAAUAGAAUUCUUUCCCAAUUUAAACUCUAAAUAUACG